rnacentral:rRNA from 1 species
CCUACGGGUGACUGCAGUGAGGAAUAUUGGUCAAUGGGCGCGAGCCUGAACCAGCCAAGUCGCGUGAGGGAAGACGGUCCUAUGGAUUUUAAACCUCUUUUGUCGGGGAGCAAAAGACGCCACGCGUGGCGUUCCGAGAGUACCCGACGAAAAAGCAUCGGCAAACUCCGUGCCAGCAGCCGCGGUAAUACGGAGGAUGCGAGUGUUAUCCGGAUUUAUUGGGGUUAAGGGGUGCGCAGGCGGAAGAUAAAGUCAGAGGUAAAAUUGAGGGGCUCAACCUCUUCGAGCCGUUGAAACUGGUUUUCUUGAGUGAGUGAGAGGUAUGCGGAAUGAGUGGUGUAGCGGUGAAAUGCGUAGAGAUCACGCAGAACACCGAUUGCGAAGGCAGCAUACCGGCGCUCAACUGACGCUCAUGCACGAAAGUGUGGGUAUCGAACAGGAUUAGAUACCCGAGUAGUC